rnacentral:lncRNA from 1 species
AGGUUCUUCUUGCCCACUGCCCUGAAAAUACCAAUGCACUGAGAACAGCAGGUGCUGCAGCAAAGAAGAAUUGGAUGAUCCCAUGGCCAGCCAAGCAGGACGGAAGAAAUUUCUCAAAUCCACUUCCCUGAGAUUCAGAGGCUCAGUCAGUUCCCGGGAGGCAGUCUCAGGACCAGCUGACUUCUCUCGGUCUGUGGAAAUGCUACAUCUGAAAACCAUAUCAAAGACCCAGCGACUUCUGGCUGAUAGGGGCUGGGACUCCCUGCCUGGCCUUGGGCACACACAGGAGCUAAACAACUCUUUGUGGAAUUACCUUUUAGUUUCUUUAUUCUUUAGGUUUCACAAUAGCGAUGUUAUCUAUAGAAGUAGUUGGGGAAGUUAUAAAUCUUGAAACCUCUAGUUAUGUGACUCUGGGGCAGUCAACAAGCUAAGUGAUAUUAGCUUAGCUAACUUAGCUUAGCUUAAGUGACUAAGCUAAGUUAUGGAAAAACAAGCUAAGUGAUGGUUCAAGCCCCUACCAUAAUUCUAACUUCUUGACCUUUCAUUAGCCUUUACAAAUGUGGUUUCAAUUUUUGAACAGGUAGGGGAUCAGUUCACGGAAAGGACUAUUAUGGCCUCCACACAAGAAUGAGCUAAAGCUGGUAGAAAACCUGGUAGAAACAAGAUGGAGUCGGUUACAUCAGAUUUCCCUUACUAAAAUUUUUGCAAAGGCAGUUUCAUCUAUUCCUCCCUCAGACUGGGGCUCCCUCGGGGCAGGGCCAUGUCUCCUCCCUCAGACGGUCUCCCCUUCCUCUCGGCUCCUCUUGCAGGCCCUGGCCUCUGGGGAGAAGGGAUGUUCUUACCAAUUUCUGGAGUAACGGCCAGCCAAUUAAGGUCUGAGCUGGCUGGAACCCAGCUCUCCUGAUGCUUGGCCAGGAGUCUGUCCCCUACCCGGAACAUCCUUAAACUCCUAAUUAUUGCCCUUGAUCUAUGAGCUCCGUGGUCAGCUCUGCCCCCUGUUUGUUCUCUGCUCCCUGUUUGUUCGCAAAAGUUUUGGGAGGCCUGGCCACCAAGCCACUGUCUCCCUAACUGAGGAAGAGGGCAGUCCGAGGGCUGAUACUCCAUAUCUCACCCCUCCCUGGGAGCUAUUAGGCAAGUGAGGUGUUUCCUUUUCUAAAGCCCUCGCUGUUUAGCUACAGGAUUAGUUCUAGUCCAUUUACUCACCAAGUUUGCUGGCCAAACACUGAGACCAGAAAAGCACAUCUCCCUUGCAUAAUAAAUGUUUAAUAAUGACAGUUGGAUUUGGACAGAAAAUGCCCUGGCUGGCAGGCCCGAAGCAACAUUAGCUCCAGAGAGCGUUUAAAGUUCAGCUCCAUUGCCCCCAUCUACCUACACACCUGCUUCCAGGCACUGGAACAUGCAGGCAGCCUUCCUACCUGCCUCCUUCCCACCUACCCACCCUGUGAUGGCAGAGUCAGCGGGAGUUACCCCUUCCCCACCUGUCCCAGGGUCUACUGGGUUUCCGUGUGUGGCCUGUUUCCUUCCUCAACAUCGGAGCUCCCCCAGGGCAGGGCUGUGUGUCCCCCUCAGACUGGGGCUCCCUGAGGACAGGGCUGUGUCUCCCCCAACACCCACUCCAGCCUGGGAUCUCCCUUCUUCAGGCCUCCCUGCUCAGCUCAGCACAGAGCUUGUUCCAUCAGAGGUUGUGGUGUGCCCAGGCUCCAGGAUCAUUUGUAAACAAAGGCCAGAUUCUGUGUCGGUGCUGGCAGAUGUUAAAGAUAACCCCUCUCAGCCCUUUAGGAAUUAGUCUAAAAUACAUGAUUGUAUUUCAGGAGCCUUAAGGGUGUUUCUGAAACCUUGGGGCCCAAGACAGUUAUAACAUAUGUCCAUUUUAGACUUUGGAAAAUAGGGCGCUAUAAUUGGAAAAGCUAGUGCAGUGCUAAGUACAGGGAGCCGGUCUCUUUACAUCUCAAAUACCAGGUAUUUAGGUGGCUUUCUUGGAACCUGGCAUUAGGGACACGUGUGAACGGGCCAGGCUCAUUUCUGAGGAGUGAGUGGGAGCGGCCAGUGAGGGUGCUCAGGUGGGGUGGGCAGCACCAUCUCUGAGCCCUGAAGCUAAUGCUCCUGCUCCUGGGACAUGGACCCCAGACUCGCCCCCUUCGCCCUCUUCUCUUCUAAUCUGGGCUUUCUCGGUCCCCAGGAGCACUUGGUAGACUCAAGGUUGGAAAUUGUGCCCUAAACCGUGCCAGACCCUGGCUUUCUCCAAAGGUGGAAAAUGGGAGCCCUACUAUUUGCCGGAGUGUGGUUGCUAUGCCUUGGGUACUGGCGCCAGACUGUCUGAGUUCCAAUCUUACCAUCCCCAUUCAGGCAAGUUACCUAACCUUUCUGGGCCUCUAUUUCCUCAUCUAUAAAAUGGGAUGAAAGUUAUAAUACCUACCUGCCAGGAUUGUUGAGAUGAUUAAUGCAAUAAUUUACAUGAAGCAUUUUGCACAGUGGCUGGCACAUAGUAAGAACUCAAUAAAUGUUCACUACU